AAUGGUAACCAUAGUGGUGAGGAUACACCUCUAGCCAUUCCGAACAGAGAAGUUAAGCUCACUUACGCCAAUGGUACUGCAUCAUUGUGGAAGAGUAGGAAGUUGCCAAAG
rnacentral:rRNA from 7 species